rnacentral:rRNA from 1 species
AGAGUUUGAUCAUGGCUCAGGACGAACGCUGGCGGCAGGCUUAACACAUGCAAGUCGAGCGCCCCGCAAGGGGAGCGGCAGACGGGUGAGUAACGCGUGGGAACGUGCCUUUUGGUUCGGAACAACUCAGGGAAACUUGAGCUAAUACCGGAUAAGCCCCGAGGGGGAAAGAUUUAUCGCCAAAAGAUCGGCCCGCGUUGGAUUAGCUAGUUGGUGGGGUAAAGGCCUACCAAGGCUCCGAUCCAUAGGUGGUCUGAGAGGAUGAUCACCCACACUGGGACUGAGACACGGCCCAGACUCCUACGGGAGGCAGCAGUGGGGAAUAUUGGACAAUGGGCGAAAGCCUGAUCCAGCCAUGCCGCGUGGAUGAAGAAGGCCCUAGGGUUGUAAAGUCCUUUCGAUGGUGAAGAUAAUGACGGUAACCAUAUAAGAAGCCCCGGCUAAUUUCGUGCCAGCCGCCGCGGUAAUAC